rnacentral:rRNA from 1 species
GCGAGUGAAGCGGCAAGAGCUCAGAUUUGAAAUCGUGUUUCGGCACGAGUUGUAGAGUGUAGGCGGGAGUCUCUGUGGAGCGCGGUGUCCAAGUCCCUUGGAACAGGGUGCCUGAGAGGGUGAGAGCCCCGUAGGGUGCUGCGCGAAGCUUUUGAGGCCCUGCUGACGAGUCGAGUUGUUUGGGAAUGCAGCUCCAAGCGGGUGGUAAAUUCCAUCUAAGGCUAAAUAUUGGCGAGAGACCGAUAGCGAACAAGUACUGUGAAGGAAAGAUGAAAAGCACUUUGAAAAGAGAGUGAAACAGCACGUGAAAUUGUUGAAAGGGAAGGGUAUUGGGCUCGACAUGGGGGGUGCGCACCGCUGUCUCUUGUAGGCGGCGCUCUGGGCGCCCUCUGGGCCAGCAUCGGUUCCUGCUGCGGGAGAAGGGGCUCCGGAAAGUGGCUCUUCGGAGUGUUAUAGCCGGGGCCAGAUGCCGCGUGUGGGGACCGAGGACUGCGGCUUCUGUCUCGGAUGCUGGCAUAACGGCGCAAUACCGCCC